GAUGAACGCUGGCGGCGUGCCUAAUACAUGCAAGUCGAGCGAACAGACGAGGAGCUUGCUCCUCUGACGUUAGCGGCGGACGGGUGAGUAACACGUGGAUAACCUACCUAUAAGACUGGGAUAACUUCGGGAAACCGGAGCUAAUACCGGAUAAUAUAUUGAACCGCAUGGUUCAAUAGUGAAAGACGGUUUUGCUGUCACUUCUAGAUGGAUCCGCGCCGCAUUAGCUAGUUGGUAAGGUAACGGCUUACCAAGGCAACGAUGCGUAGCCGACCUGAGAGAGUGAUCGGCCACACUGGAACUGAGACACGGUCCAGACUCCUACGGGAGGCAGCAGUAGGGAAUCGUCCGCAAUGGGCGAAAGCUUGACGGAGCAACGCCGCGUGAGUGAUGAAGGUCUUCGGAUCGUAAAACUCUGUUAUUAGGGAAGAACAAAUGUGUAAGUAACUAUGCACGUCGUGACGGUACCUAAUCAGAAAGCCACGGCUAACUACGUG
rnacentral:rRNA from 1 species